UUCUUUUUCCUCUUUCUUUCUUUCUCCUUCUCUUUCUCUCUUUUCUCUCUACCGGCGUCUCACCCUUCUCAUUUUCUCUCUUCCUUUUCUUCUUUUUUUCUUUUUGCUCUAUUUUUUUGUGUUUUAUUGUGGCUUUUUUGGGUUAAUUGUUGUGUUUUUUUUUUUGUGUUUCAGUUUUUUUGGUGGAUGGUUUUUUUUUGCCAAGAGAUGAAUCAGUUUUUUUUUUUU
rnacentral:lncRNA from 1 species